UUGAACGCUGGCGGCAGGCCUAACACAUGCAAGUCGAGCGGAUGAAGGGAGCUUGCUCCUGGAUUCAGCGGCGGACGGGUGAGUAAUGCCUAGGAAUCUGCCUGGUAGUGGGGGAUAACGUCCGGAAACGGGCGCUAAUACCGCAUACGUCCUGAGGGAGAAAGUGGGGGAUCUUCGGACCUCACGCUAUCAGAUGAGCCUAGGUCGGAUUAGCUAGUUGGUGGGGUAAAGGCCUACCAAGGCGACGAUCCGUAACUGGUCUGAGAGGAUGAUCAGUCACACUGGAACUGAGACACGGUCCGGACUCCUACGGGAGGCAGCAGUGGGGAAUAUUGGACAAUGGGCGAAAGCCUGAUCCAGCCAUGCCGCGUGUGUGAAGAAGGUCUUCGGAUUGUAAAGCACUUUAAGUUGGGAGGAAGGGCAGUAAGUUAAUACCUUGCUGUUUUGACGUUACCAACAGAAUAAGCACCGGCUAACUUCGUG
rnacentral:rRNA from 1 species